UACGUAGGUGGCAAGCGUUGCUCGGAAUUACUGGGCGUAAAGGGCGCGUAGGCGGAAUGGCAAGUCGGUCGUGAAAUCCUUCGGCUCAACCGAAGAACGUCGAUCGAAACUGCCGUUCUUGAGGAUUGCAGAGGAGACUGGAAUUCCCGGUGUAGCGGUGAAAUGUGUAGAGAUCGGGAGGAACACCGGUGGCGAAGGCGGGUCUCUGGGCAAUUCCUGACGCUGAGGCGCGAAAGCGUGGGGAGCAAACGGG
rnacentral:rRNA from 1 species